CCGGCUCAAUGGUCCCAUGAACCGCAUCUUCGAAGAGGAAAUUUCCUGGCUGUGGAGCAAACGGUAAGAGAUCAGCCUUCACCAAAGUAUUACUAUAAAGAGGAACAAGGAGGCCCUGCUUCGGGACCACGGAGCAGACACACCUUUCCCUCUCCCUCCUUCGGGGGCAGCUACACAAUAUCAAACAGGAGAAGCCGGUGCCGGGUGGAGAGAGGGUUGAACCGUGGGGCCAGGCCCGCUUCCCUCUGCCCAGCCUGGCUGUGCCCUGCCCCACACCCUGCUGCCACCCAGCUCCACUGUGCCCAGGGGGCCUGGCAGAGCUCUGGGGAGGGACCGUGUCUUCCAAGGGGAGGUGGCCUGUCCAGCUUGUUGCGUUUGGUCUUCUGUGACCUGGCUGCUGUCCUCUCACUGUGUCACCUAGAGGCUGUGUGUACUUGUGUGAGGGGCCGGGGGACAGCGCUGAAGGAAAUCCAUCAGUUCUGCUUUCAAAUAACAGAACACACCAGCAGAUGCACUGGGCAGAUGAGGGCUUCUUAGCAUUUUGCAAAAUACCAGCAGCAGCUGCCUGCCCGAUGGCUCCUGGCUCUCUAAGCCGGCCUGUGGGGACGGGCCUUGCACCCAGAGGGGUCAGAGCAUCCUGGCUGUCCUCUCCAUCAAUGGCCACUGAGGGGCCAGAAGCCAAGGGGUCACCCACACCCCCGGGGUCCCCUGUGCCCACCAUCUUGCUCCAACCUUUGAGCCACCUUAGUGUCUUCAAGUGAGCAAUAGUGACAAGAAAAAAUAGUCCCCAAACAUCUCCAAGUGCUACCAUUAUCAGUAAAAAUCUUUUGCGCAUGCGUUGCCCAUAUGGGUAUGAUGGUCUAUUGAGACAGCGGCAUCAAGCACUUUAAUGCCACUAGUGUUUUGUAUUAUGAGCAAAAACGUCAACUAAAAGUGAAUGAGAUGCACAUAAAGGGUGAGUGUGCUGGUUUGGAUAGUGUGUUGCCCACAUUCCUGUCCUCGGAGCAUCAGGAUGUGACCUAUGUACAGUUAGUUAAGAUGAGGUUGUCCUGGAGGGAGCACACCCUUAGUCCAGCAAGAUUCACUCCUCAUAGAAGGAGGACAAAGGACACAGAGACAGGGACCCACGCAGGAAUGCCACAUGACAGGAGAGGCAGAGGUCACAGCUACGUGGCUGCAAACCAAGGUGGCGGCAACACCAGGAGCUGGAAGAGACAAGGAAGGUCCUCCCCUGGAGGCUUCUGGACAGGCUGGCCCUCCGACACCCCCUUCAUGGACUUCUGACUCCACUUCUCGUGUUUUAAGCCGUUCAGCUGUGGCAAUUCCUGACAUCGGGGGAGCCAACACGACAUAGAGAAAAGCAAAUCAGAACUACUCUAGGGUUCCAUCUCACUCCAGUCAGAUGGCAGUCAUCAAGAAUACAGGCAAAAAUCAGUGUUGGCGAGGACAUGGGGAAAAGGGCACACUCAUACAUUGCUGGUGGGACUGCAAAUUGGUGCAACCACUAUGGAAAGCAGGAUGGAGAUUCCUCAGAAAACUUGGAAUGAAACCACCAUCUGACCAAGUUAUCCCACUCCUCAGUUUAUAUCAAAAGGACUUAAAAUCAGCAUACUACAGUGACACAGCCACAUCAAUGUUUAUAGCAGCACAAUUCACAAUAGCCAAACUAUGGAACCAACCUAGAUGCUCUUCAACAGACGAAUGGAUAAAGAAAAUGUGGUCCAUAUACACAAUGGAAUAUUACUCAGCCUUAAAGAAGAAUGAAAUUAUAGCAUUUGCAGGUAAAUGGAUGGAACUGGAGACUAUCAUGCUAGGUGAAAUAAGCCAAUACCUAAAAAAACCAAAUGCCAAAUAUUUUCUCUGAUAUGCAGAUACUAAUUCACAAUGAGGUGGGGGGGGGGGGGCUAGGGAAGAACAGAGGUACUUUGGAUUAGACAGAGGGGAGUGAAGGGAGGGGAGGAGGUCUGGGGGUAGUAGAAUGAAUUGAGCAUUAUCACCUUAUGUACAUAUAUGACCACACAACAGGUGCAAUUCUACAUCAUGUACAACCAGAAGAAUGAGAAGUUUUACUCCAUUUAUGUAGGAUGUGUCAAAAUGCAUUGUACUAUCAUGCAUAACUAAUUAUAAUAAAUUUUUUUAAAUGUAAAAAAAAAAGAGAGAGAGAGAGAUUCAGCCAGUGUGGUGGUGCAAGCCUAUAAUCCCAGCGGCUAGGGAGGAUGAAGCAGGAGGAUCAAGAGUUCAAAUCCAACCUCUGCAAAAGCAAGGCACUAAGCAACUCAGUGAGACCCUGUCUUGAAAUAAAAUACAAAAUAGGGCUGGGGGUGUGGCUCUGUGGUCGAAUGCCGCUGAGUUCAAUCCCCAGUACCAAAAAAAAAAAAAAAUUCUGUUUCCUCUCUGCUCCGGCUGUCAGGGCUCUCAAUUCAGAGGGUGCUCACAGCCGGCCAUGCAGGGACUGAAGGCGGAUGCCGAGCUGGCAAGAGCCGGGCACCCUGGGGGGGAAGGUGUGAUUCCAGCGCAGCACAGGUGUGGACACCUGCAGCAGCUGACGCUGGCUGUGGGCAGCACGGGGGCCAGGGGCUGAGGCUUUCCUGUUGCAGCAGCCCAGACCCAGGCAGGCGUGUCGGGGUGGGGAGAGGCAAGGCCCCCGGGGACCACCCUGACUGGGCGCAUCUACAGCUCACCCCCAGGGCAGCCACGUAGCUGUUGGCUCCUGUAGAUGUGUUACUGAUUUCUAGGGAAAACUUGGGAGAGAUCUGGCUCCUGAAUGGUCAGUCAAUCAGACGAGAGUUAACAGCAGGUCCGGUGUGUUUCCCUUGACUGUUGGGCCCCACUGUCCACCAGGUCCCUGCCUCUGGGCCUCCAGGACCCCAGGUUCCGGAUGUGCAUAGCUGAGGGCAUCGCUUCCUUCUGCAGCUGUCCCCUAGUUGCAACGCACGGUCACGACUAAAACCAUUCUGUUUUCCAAGCCAGAAACCCAGGAGUCAUUCUGGAUGCUUCUUCCUGCCCACAAUUCCAGCAAGUCCUGAAGUCCUGACUGCGCUGCUCAAAUCACCCAGGGCCACCACACCCUCUCCAGGACGUCCAGGACAAGGGUGGAAUUCCUUAGCUGCUGAGGCCCUACAGCAGGUGCCGGGCAUUGGCCACACAGCCCUCCCAACCCCUUGUCUUCUUGCAUUCUUUCUCUAUAAAGCCUGAAGAGCUAAGUACUUGAUCCUAGACAUCUUCCAGCCAAGGUGGCCACAUGACCCUGUUGUGUCCAAGAAAAUGUAAGCAAAAUUCCAGUGCAGAGGGCUCUUGCUCCAAAUAGAAAGACAGGGUCUAGAAAGAAGAAGGUAUUUUGCCCUUUACUUAUUCCUAAUGGAAAACAAAUGUGAUACCUGAAGUACAGCAACUAUUUUAUAACCAGGAGGGCAAAAGCCUCAUUGUAAGGAUGGUAGAAGAAAAAGACAGCAAAGAGACUGAAAACCUGAUGGUCACACUGGCCCUAGAUAACCUGCCCCCAGUGCAGAGAAGAGGAAGAGAAACACUCACCUGCCAGCCAGGGCUGGUCAUAUUGUCCCUCGCUUCCAGCCAAUUGCAUUUCCAGAUGGCCCUGGAGCUUUGCAGUUACUCAGUAAACGUGAAUUCCUGUUCCUCUCCCCAUCUUGCUUGUCGCCCGACUUAUUCAUCCUCUCUGCUUUCUGAGGAAUUUUCUGGAACUCUGGAGGGAAAGUUUAUUAUGCUGGCAGGUAAUUGCGUGGUGAGAAUAAGUUCUUCCCAGGAGAUACGACUCUUUAAGCCUCCUGUGUCUGAAACCAACGAGGGCUCAAUGAGUGGGGGUCGAAAUCCCGAAUUUGGGGACAGAAAUCUCGAAAGGCAUGGUGUGAGGGGACAUCUUUCUUUGGUGACUUGCCCAUCGUACCCUGGAGGAGUGGUCAGUUAUCUCCUCAUUCUCUGGCUUCGAGCUUGCCUGUGGCCCUGCUGGGGACACUAGAUGGCAUCCAAGCCUCCCUCCUGGGGUCCUGGCCCACCAUCACUCCGUCACCUCUUCGUCUUCCUCCUGGGACCCGCCUCUGGUCAGCAGGUAGCCCAGUGGACUCUGCUUUCUGAACAGCCCAGCACCCAGCCGUCGCCCAGCCACUGCCUCUGUGCUCUGCCACCCUCGUUCCAGCCUCCGUCGGGUCUGGUCCUCGUUAGACCAUCGCCUGCUGUGCGGCCUCUAAAACAGGCAGGCGCAGGCCACUCCUGUCCAGGAGUCGAGCGAGCCAGGAAGGUGCUGUCGUGGGGUUCAACAUAUCCUAAAACAUGAUUUGCUAACAUUUAAAAACCUUAACUUUCAGACACGUUUCAAUCCCUGAUUCUCUAGAAGAAUCUGAGGUCUUUAUGGUGACCACGGCGGCCACCUUUCUUCCCAGGGACGUUGAGAAACCCACAUGAGGUUUUGUUCAAAAGCAGAGCCCAGAGAGGGUCUGACAGGGAGGCUCCAGCCUGAGCACCCAGCUCCCCGAGUCCUCGGGAUGGAGGGAGGGGGCUGGGACCAGAUGGCUCCUGCUGGCGCCGUCUCCAACAGGGCGGCCACUCUCAGUCCUCCUGGUCCGGGACUCCCAGAGCUAAAAGGGUCCUCAGAGAUCAUUCCGUCUGUCUCCUCAUCUUGGAUCAAGAAAAACGUCUCAGCCACCAGCUGGUGCAGAGCGUCAGAUCAGAGCCGAGCGGGAGGUGGUGGCGGAGCCUGCGGAGGUGAGAUGGGGCGCCUGCCGGGGAGGGCGGCGGCGGGGGACAGUCUGUGGGCAGGGCUGCAGGCCAAGCCCCGGCCACCAUGUGUGGAGGGAGAGGACCCAGAGCCCAGGCCAGCCACCCCGGCCUAUUUUUAAGGGGACGCACUGAGUUCUCACCGUGGGAAAACCACGGAUGGGAUCUGAAACCAGGCCAGGGCCUCGAGGUGGACCUGCCAGCUACAUUUUCCUUCCGUGGCCCUUUCUGAAAACCCUGGUGUUAUUGGGACUAUUUUUUUUUUUUUUUUUAUUCAGGAGACACUGGACUAUGAAGAUAAGACUGAUACAUCUGACCCUUUGUUGGUGAUCAUGAUUAUCUGGCUGAAAACUCUAACAGAGCCAAUGACGACUGAAAUCACCUUGUGCCCCCCGCCCACCACCAGCACCACCAUCAUCUCCUGGGAAAUGCACACAAGGCCGGGGUCUGUCCUCCAUGUUAGUUAUCCACAAAGGAGUCACCCACCUCACUCCCGGGAGCAGGCACGGAGCUCACCCAGAGGGAGGAGGCAGGUCCAGCAAGAAGCCCCCCAAGUGGAAACUGAGGCUGAGCCGAGGCCAGCAGGUGGCUGACUGGCUUCCUGCGGGAGGCGCUCCUGCAGUGGACCCCCAGCCGCCUGCUCUGGGCGAGGCGUUCCCCAAGGCCCGGGCCCUCGUACUGGUCCAUGGUCCUGUGGUCACCAGGCCACAGCCCGGACCUCAGGAGGCUGCUGGAAAACUCAGCUGCUGGACACCCCCCCUCCUGGGGGUGAACAGGGUCCCCGUCUGCGCCCCGACACCAGGUCUCAGUCACCCACGCGAACAGCUGCUUCUUCCUCUCAGAGGGCGGGAAGGCCAGGGACUGCAUGAGGCUCUGGGGACAGGCCUUGGCACCCAGGGGUGCUCAGGGAACUGGGCAUGCCCAGGGACCUGCCUCCACCUUGAGGACUGGGUCUGUCCUCCUGUCCCUGCUGGCUCUAACCAGAGGCCAGGGGGGAAUUCAGGUUCUGAAGUCCUGGCUGGACUCCGAUGGUGACCCCUUCAUUCAUCUCCUGGAGGAACUUCACCAUUUAGUUAUUCUCCUGGGGCCUCAGGUGCCCCCCCCCAACCCCCAAGAGAACCGAGGCUGAUGAAGGUUAGAGAAGCAGCACCUGGAGACGCCUGAGCGCUCAGUGACAGGAAGUGGCGCUGCACAGUGCUCCUGGAGCCAGGCCUCGUCACCAAGAGAAGGAGCUCCGGCUCCAGUUUCCUGGGAUCUGGCCUGAGGUCAAAGGCGGGCACGUCCCACCUCCUGUCUCCCAGCGUGGCCCGGCCCUGGUGGAGCCGGGACCCCCCUGCACCGUAGUUAUCGGGUUCCUGCCUGUGUCCUCCCGCCGCAGAGGCAGAGCCUCACUAUUGCAGCCUAAGCAUGGCCAAGAGCAAGCACCAGGCCUGACCCAGGCCAGACCCCCGGGGAGUGUGUAGUGAUCAGCACACUCCCCCCACGGCUGGCUGGCCCCGGGUUCAUCUGGUCUUCUAGAGACCCCCAGACAGAGUCUGGGUUGGUCUCAGUGUCGGAAUUUAAACUUAGCCUGUAGCAAGAAUCAAGUGGGGGCUGGGGAUGUGGCUCAAGCGCUCGCCUGGCAUGCGUGCGGCCCGGGUUCGAUCCUCAGCACCACAUACCAACAAAGAUGUUGUGUCC
rnacentral:lncRNA from 1 species